rnacentral:lncRNA from 1 species
GACAUCGUAACUUUAUUUAUUCUAUUAACUUUUCCCCUAAUAUGUUUAAAUUUCAAUAUAAGAUUUAGAAAUGUUUAAAAAUAUUUACACUUUUAAAUAUGGUAGCAAUUUAUUACACAUCGAUUAUGAUAUAAAUGAACACUUGUAAAUAUGGCCAAUGCUUGCAAUAAAAAAUGCACUAGGACUACAAGAGGGACGUUUUUAUGUGUGAGAUAAAAAUGGGGUCAAAUGUUAAAAUUAGCAUGCCAUAUAGAAGUAAAACUAACUUCUAUAUUUGAAAAACUUUGAAGAAAUUUGCGGAAGACCGUAGAAAAAUAGAGAAACUUUUGUUUGAGUAUUUAAGGAUAAAGAAGAGAGAUCAAGAUGGUUUUGCAACUAGAUAUUCCAUUUAAAAAGAUAUAAGAAACUUGCAAGAGUUGAAUAAACAUACAUAGAAGCAUGUCUACAAAAUAUAUGCCCUUGUUUGAGCCCCA